CGAUAUUAUGACGAUCUGGCUGUGACAUCUGUCAUCCUGUUGAUCACCAGGGUUGAUUUGGCUGAUCUGGCUGGCUAGGCAAGUGCCCAUCUUCCUCCCUUACCACUCCACCUGGACCCUUUCCAAAGCAUGCACAUUCCUGGGAUGGGGAAUGACCGGUCUCAGGUCAAAGGUAGCCUCGUAGCUAUGAUCUCCUGCCAGAACCUUCAAAAAAGCUCACAAGGUCUCUCUAUAACAGCAACAAAAGUUGUUAAACCCCAAGUCGUGUUUCCAUCCCUUGGGGCAUCCUUAAAG
rfam:Mus musculus chromosome 13, GRC primary reference assembly.